rnacentral:rRNA from 1 species
UACGAAGGGGGCUAGCGUUGCUCGGAAUCACUGGGCGUAAAGGGUGCGUAGGCGGGUCUUUAAGUCAGGGGGGAAAUCCUGGAGCUCAACUCCAGAACUGCCUUUGAUACUGAGGAUCUUGAGUUCGGGAGAGGUGAGUGGAACUGCGAGUGUAGAGGUUAAAUUCGUAGAUAUUCGCAAGAACACCAGUGGCGAAGGCGGCUCACUGGCCCGAUACUGACGCUGAGGCACGAAAGCGUGGGGAGCAAACAGG